UAAGAGGUACUUUUCAAAUGUAAAUCGUGGAACUCACCAGGCUGCGUAGAUGAAAACAGGAUACUUUCCCCGCAGUCAUCUUAACGGAUCUGAACCUGUUUCCAAUCUCUUUGACCAGCUUGUGUGUAAUUUCUGUCCCAAGCCUAACAGAGGAGUCAAGAAUUUAACAGCUAACGACACUACUUGCUUGAAGAACAUACCAAAUGCAUCCAGCAAAUGUACUUGUGCAAAGCAUUUGCACGUAACAAUAUACGUUUAUCUUUCAUGCCUUUGAACGGAUACGUUCCUUAGGGAACACGUGCACAUUUGAUUUUUCAGCAAUGAAGUUCUUCAAAACUAAGAUGGGAGCCAGGUUGUUCCGUCCAGUCUGUGCAAAGUGGAGGAUGAACGCCCCGAUCUCUCUGCCAGGGGCCACAGAAGGGUAAAUCUAGUAUUAAGUAACAUCAGCAUCAACCGCUCUUCAGCCAACUGACUACCAAACAAGGAAGCUGCUCAGACGUAACCCACUUGUUUCUCCAAAUCAGUUCAAUUUGUUGCAGUUUACCUGUGGGGAACAGGCUACAGAGUCAUCCUUCCUCCAUGCAUGAACUGCCCGGGAGCUCACCCACUGGGAAAAGACAGGGAGACACACACUACUCCUGCCAUGCCUCAAGGGUAAUUCCCUUUGGCUAAAAACAGACCCAGGACUCUUCCUCCCCCUCUUGGCUCCCUCAAGAGUCUUUCAUUUGGGGACCCUAGAGGUAAAGUACCCCACUCCCUACCAUAAGUACCUGUGAACUGAGAUAACAGGACUCCUGGGACAACUGUGACUAAUCCAUGCUAGUUUUCAUUCAAGCCUCAUGUUUAAAUGACUUCUCCCUCACUCCCCUUUUGAUAGGAGUUAAAGAUCAGUGAUAAAGCCCUUGUUUGCUUUCUGCCUUAGGUACUUCCUAGUGCUCCUCUCUCACUGCACCUUUGAGGAGCCUGGAGCAUUAGCUAACAGAAGAGGUUCUGCAGACUAAACAAAGUGUAGGAUUUUCCACGCAGCAUGUGUGGACACACACACGCACACACACGCACACGCAAGCUUGCAAGGUUUUCCAGCAUAGCUCCAGCAGAAUGACACUGUCAAAAAGUGGGAUGCAAAGAAGGGGGAGGAAAUGCAGAGAAUUACACGGUCUGUGGAUUCCACAAGCUCAAAAUGCAUGAUAUUACUUCACUAUAAUUGAGCCGGUAUUGUUCCAAGGACUAAUUUAGGAAAAACAGGUGCAAAGGAACGGGACCGAUUCCUAAAGUGAGCUGAAAUUAUUUCCUCCUCCGUAAGUUAACAAAAAUAAAAGGAAAGAAGAAAUGCCUUUCAACUGCAGUUUUGACUGUAGCAUAACAAACUUCACAGGUGGCCGUGAUGUUUUAGCCUAGAGAGAGUGAGGACCAUUUUUACAAAGAAUGAUGUUAUGUCUGAAAUAUAACUGCCUCAUCACGGCUGCAGAUAUAGAUUGCUCCUUGUGAUGCCCCUCUAUAGCACUGCUAUAUGUCAAAAUGGUGAAAUAUGCCCCCCAAAUUUAAUGAGAAUAUUUACAUACUGUAUUAGGCAGGGGUGCAAUACCUCAGCUUUGCAUAAUGUUUCAGAAAGUUUUAACCUCUACAAACUAAAAGAAACAGACAUAAGGACAGUUCUUAAAAAGCCACUCCUGUGCCCCUGGCUCUGGCACAAACUCUUCUAGUUUCUAUGCAAUGCUCUGUGCAAGCACGUGGACUGUAACGUUUACAGCAUUACAUACUCUACCCAGGGUCGCAGAUGUCUGUGUAUGACACAGUACAGUCCUCAAUCUGCAUAUCCCGCACAGACAGAACGAAGUAAACAGCCCAUUUUUCAAAAGUACAUAAAAUAUGGUAUUGAGAGUUCUUUGCUUUAAUGUCAAAAGCUACUGAAAGAGGAAAAGUGCUCUUUACCAGACAAGCUUUCUUUUCGCAGAGAUCACAUCCACUACUCCUUCCUUGGAAUAAAUCUGGGCAGGGUGGCACGCUGGAGACUACCUGGUUGAACGACGCAGCAGCUUUUGUCUUGGGAUGCAACGAAGGCACUUACAGAAAGCAAGGGCUCUAAAUAAAAGAGAAUUUAAAGAUAAACGUUAGACUGAGGUACAUUGAAAGGCUCAGUAGAGAGAAACAAGGUGAACGGGCAGCAAACAGGGCAAAGGAGACAAGGGAAGAGGAGCCAGGCACCUGACCCGAACCCCUGGAAGGAAAGUGAGCUGGGGCUGCCUGUUCGUCUGGGCACGUGCUCUAAGGAGCUGGGAGUGCUGCAAGCUGGGGGACUGCUACCUCUGUCUGACAAAAGUCUUAACAAGGCCCAGGAGGGGAGAAAAGGAGGCUCUGCGUGACCAGGGGCAGCAAACGGGGCAGUUUGCAAACAGUUCAUAAGUCAGUUUGCAGGUUUCAAUGUGACGGUGACGGGUGUGCACACUGCACAGUACAGUCUUUGUAACAAGACUAAGAGCGGUGUAACUGUACAAGUGUGGUUUGGACUGUCAAGCGAACCAUGGCAGUCACAAGGCAGGCUGUCAGAGCAGUGCCUCCCAAACUUUUCCUCAGCAUGACCCCAUUUAUGGCCCCAUUCCUCAGCAUGACCCUUCGCUCCCCACCCAUAGCCCCCCACCCCUGCCACCCCAUCCCGCUGAUUUUUCAAUCCCAUUUGGGGUUGUGACCUACAGUUCGGGAACCACUGUGUUAGAGGUACAGUUAUAUAGAUAUGUAUCUAUUUAUAUAUAGAAAUAUUAUGUUUUUUUAAAGUUAGUUCACAGGUCAGUUUGCCCCCCGUUCUUUAAAGGGGAGCCUUUAAUGUAAGACCUUGCUUUAAUUGAGAGUACCUAAUCUACAUCUAUUUAGUGUAAGUCGCUAAUACACAGCAAUUAGACCAGUUCUUGUGCUCCUUGCUUAACUGGAGUCCAGAGUGAGAGGGAAGUUGGAGGCGGCGUUUGCUAGGUAAUUUAUCUGGAAACUCUCCCUCACCUUCCUUCACCGUAAACUUAGAGAGAGGAAGCGGGUUAGCAGGGGAAAGGGAAGCUUUUGGGACCAAGGGGCAGCACAGAGGCCAGUUUACAAGGAAGUUUGCUAGGAAAGGUCUGGUUGGAAAGAGGGGCGAGCAGAGAGAGGGAGCGGAUUAAGAAACCCAGCGACACGGUGCGCCCCUAAUAUAAAAUCAUAACUUUUAAAAAAUAUUUUAAAGGUAUUAUUUGGUUAUUGUCCCAAAUUUCAUUAAGCUUUUAAUAAACAUAAGAGUAUCUUACUACUCAGAAAGAGCUUAACUAAUUUCCUUUUUCUCUAAAAGCUGUAAAAUGAUCAGCAAUUAAUAAAAAAGCAGAGGUUUCUGGGCAAAGUCUUCAAAAGCCAGAACAACACUG